AUUUAUGCCGUUUAGGAAAAUAACGAAGAGGAACUUUUUAACACAGUGCAAAAUUCAUUUGAAAAUCACUCGAAUAUUAAUGUAAAUAAAGAUCUGCUGAAGAAUUAUCAUUAGAUAAGUAAAAAAUAUGGCAGCGCGCAUGUAAACAUAAAGACAUAAAAACUCCACGACCGAUUGUUGUGGAGUAUUCAACUCAGUGAAUGCGUGAUGAUAUCUUCACUAGAAAAUCUGAGAGGGCAGUGAUGUUAUGUUAUUGGAAAUGUUCGUGAAAAGCACUUGAAUUCAGCAAGCGAUAAAUUUGAAAAUAACUAGAAUAAGAAUCUUCAGUUUUUAGAGUUAACAGGCUUAAAUGCAGCGGAGGUCCAGAGAAUUAAUGAUUCUUCAUUCAAUGAAAUCACUGAAUUGCAAUUACCUGGGACGAUUGAAAAAACAAUUUCUGAAACUACAGUUUCUUAGAUUUGAAGGAUUAGAAGCAGCGGAGAUCGAUAGAAUAAAUACAUUAUUAUUCAAUAAUUCAAUUUCUGAAACUGAGUAUUGAUAUCUCGAAAGAUUUACAUGACAUCUUAGCUGUGCCAAAGCAUUGUGCUUAUUGCUCUCGAAAGCACUCGAAGCCUUUUUGUGAUCGUGAGCACUGUGCAUUUUUUGAAAUUAGUGCUUAUAGCAAUUGAAGCACUUCAAUAGAAGGCUGAGCGCCCUCUUGAGAAUCUUCAGUUCCUAGAUCUUUCCGACUUAGAAGUAGCGGAGGUCACAAAAAUCAACGCAUUAUUAUUCGAAACUUCUAAAAUGGAUCCUGGGACAGGUGAAGAAACUAUUUCGUUUUUUGAUUAUACAGGUCUAGAACCAGCUGAAAUCAAAAGAAUAAAUCGAUUUUUAUUCAAUGAUUCAAUUCCUGAAAGUAAGUAUUGAUAUCUCAAAAGAUUCACUUGAGAUCAGAGCUGUGCCAAAGCAUUGUGAUGAUGGCUUUCGAGAGCACUCUAAGCCUUUUUGUGGUCGUGAGCACUGUGUUCUUAAGCAUUUUUUUGAAAUUACUGCUUAUAGUCGAUUUUAUUUCGUUGUUUCAAACUAAUCCUGGCAAUCAUCUCCCAAACUUAUCGUUGAUAAAGGAAAAUAUUCCAUGUUCGUCAUGCCGGAUUAAAAAUUUUAUGUUUCUGUCGAAUUGUAUCUAAACUCUAUUUAACGAUCAUUCAUUUCAAGGAUUUCUUAUGAACAAUUAUUGAAGUGUAAUGUUUAUGAAUUUAAUAAGACAAUUGUUUCAAUAUGGAGAUGAAUAUUUUCUGAGAGUAGAUUUUGGUUAUUUUGAUGAUUUAAUUUAAUUACCUUCAUAAUCGAAUAUUUUCGAAUGUAAGUUAUAAAUGUUGAUGUAGAGAGUUUUAUAGUGUUUUCAGUUUUUCGGAUAUUUUACUUUUGUGUGUUUAUCAAAUAAAAAAUACUACACUUUCAAUAAUGGUAACCACAAUUAUAUUGGGUUUUUCUUUUUUUUUUAGAAUCUUCAGUUCCUAGAUCUAUCAGACUUAGAACCAGCGCAUGUCAAUAAAAUAAAAGCUAUAUUAUUCAAAGAAGAAAUAGAUUGGACAGGUCUUGAACCCUGCGGAGGUGGACAGAAUUACAAGAUUAUUAUCCAAUAAUUCAAUUUCUGAAAAUUUCAGUUACUCACCUCAAUCCACAUAAUAAACAUCAUCACCCCAGGCUCAAGAAGUCCAAAUUUAUCCAGUGUUGCCGACAGGAAUUACGGGCCCGGGGGUUAUGGAAAUGCGGGUCCCCCCAACCUAUUCCGCCAUUUCGAAAUGUCUCCUUUUUUCGCCUUUAAUCAAUAUGGGUUUUCCCAAAAUGUUAUGACGGUGAUAUGAAUAAGUCGAUUGUACAUGCAAGAAUAGUGGGGUCACUUCAGCAAACCCCAUGCCUAAAAUGAAUAUUUCAAGAGUUAUCGAGGAAGAUCUUUAAAUGAGGAAAAACCACAAUUCCUUACUGAGUGGAGUAGUCUGUGACUUCUGGAAAACACAGAAAGAAAUUGAAAUUCGAUGUUUGGAUUACUAAAUUUUACAUUUCAUGAAUUAGGACUAAUUGUUCGUUGUAUUGUGCGUGUAUUAAAAUGGAGGAAUUCUAUUUUGAACAAUUCCUGCUGAAUGGAAAUUAUUUUAUUUAUUUUGUUUUUGAUUCAUUGUUUUCAAAUCCAAAUAUUUUCAAUUUAUUUGCUGCUUUUAUUUAUCCAGUUUGUUGAUUGAAAAUUUUUUUAAAUAAUAUGAGAAAAAUUUAGGGAAGGCAUUCGUAAAGGGUGAAAAAUCUGCAAUUUUCGGAAUAAAUUUAAUUCUUUGUUAGUUAAAUUGACAAUACCAUCAAAAAUACAUAUUGUCUAGCGAUAAUAAACAAAUAAUGACAUUUCACAAAAAAAUAGACGACUAUGUUUUUUUUUUAAUUGAUACGAAAUAAUUUCUUUCAUAU